GAUGAAGAACGUAGCAAAAUGCGAUAAGUAAUGUGAAUUGCAGAAUUCAGUGAAUCAUCGAAUCUUUGAACGCACAUUGCGCCCGCUGGUAUACCGGCGGGCAUGCCUGUUCGAGCGUCAUUUCAACCCUCAAGCCCCCGGGUUUGGUGUUGGGGAUCGGCUCUGCCCUUCUGGGCGGUGCCGCCCCCGAAAUACAUUGGCGGUCUCGCUGCAGCCUCCAUUGCGUAGUAGCUAACACCUCGCAACUGGAACGCGGCGCGGCCAUGCCGUAAAACCCCAACUUCUGAAUGUUGACCUCGGAUCAGGUAGGAAUACCCGCUGAACUUAAGCAUAUCAAUAAGCGGAGGA
rnacentral:misc_RNA from 1 species